CCGAGACGGGUGGAUCACGAGGUCAGGAGAUCGAGACCAUCCUGGCUAAUAUGGUGAAACCCCGUNGGGGUUUCACCAUGGUCUCGAUCUCCUGACCUUGUGAUCCGCCCGCCUCGG
rnacentral:pre_miRNA from 1 species